rnacentral:rRNA from 1 species
AGAUACCAGCUGGCUGCAACUGUUUAUUAAAAACACAGCACUGUGCAAACACGAAAGUGGACGUAUACGGUGUGACGCCUGCCCGGUGCCGGAAGGUUAAUUGAUGGGGUUAGCGCAAGCGAAGCUCUUGAUCGAAGCCCCGGUAAACGGCGGCCGUAACUAUAACGGUCCUAAGGUAGCGAAAUUCCUUGUCGGGUAAGUUCCGACCUGCACGAAUGGCGUAAUGAUGGCCAGGCUGUCUCCACCCGAGACUCAGUGAAAUUGAACUCGCUGUGAAGAUGCAGUGUACCCGCGGCAAGACGGAAAGACCCCGUGAACCUUUACUAUAGCUUGACACUGAACAUUGAGCCUUGAUGUGUAGGAUAGGUGGGAGGCUUAGAAGUGUGGACGCCAGUCUGCAUGGAGCCGACCUUGAAAUACCACCCUUUAAUGUUUGAUGUUCUAACGUUGACCCGUAAUCCGGGUUGCGGACAGUGUCUGGUGGGUAGUUUGACUGGGGCGGUCUCCUCCUAAAGAGUAACGGAGGAGCACGAAGGUUGGCUAAUCCUGGUCGGACAUCAGGAGGUUAGUGCAAUGGCAUAAGCCAGCUUGACUGCGAGCGUGACGGCGCGAGCAGGUGCGAAAGCAGGUCAUAGUGAUCCGGUGGUUCUGAAUGGAAGGGCCAUCGCUCAACGGAUAAAAGGUACUCCGGGGAUAACAGGCUGAUACCGCCCAAGAGUUCAUAUCGACGGCGGUGUUUGGCACCUCGAUGUCGGCUCAUCACAUCCUGGGGCUGAAGUAGGUCCCAAGGGUAUGGCUGUUCGCCAUUUAAAGUGGUACGCGAGCUGGGUUUAGAACGUCGUGAGACAGUUCGGUCCCUAUCUGCCGUGGGCGCUGGAGAACUGAGGGGGGCUGCUCCUAGUACGAGAGGACCGGAGUGGACGCAUCACUGGUGUUCGGGUUGUCAUGCCAAUGGCACUGCCCGGUAGCUAAAUGCGGAAGAGAUAAGUGCUGAAAGCAUCUAAGCACGAAACUUGCCCCGAGAUGAGUUCUCCCUGACCCUUUAAGAGUCCUGAAGGAACGUUGAAGACGACGACGUUGAUAGGCCGGGUGUGUAAGCGCAGCGAUGCGUUGAGCUAACCGGUACUAAUGAACCGUGAGGCUUAACCU